GGGGCGGGAGAGGCCCUGCUGGGUGGACCUUCUCCGAAGACAGCGACGGGGCUUUGGGGAGGGGGGCUGCUCCCGGCCUCUGCUCUUACAGCGGCGGUCGCUGCUCUCCGGGAGCUGGAGGCUGGGCUUCAGGAAAGGCUGGGGCAUUUAGGGAAAGCCAUUUCUGAGAGGUGAAGGGGAAGCUGAGGCAGCUCUGGGCUGCAGCACGCCCAGAGGGUCGCCUCCUGGACCAGCGAGGCCCUUCUCCUGCUCCUUGCUCCUGGGACCGCGGGCGCCUCGCCCGGAGCACCGGCGAUUUCCCCGGACUCGGCGGGUGUGCGGUGCCUGUCCCACAGAGGAGGCCCUUCUGGAGUCUCAGGGGCUCGAGAGGGCUUCGCGGCCGGCGGGUCCCCCGGAUGGUCCCCGGGUGCUGAGGCCGGACGGUCCCCGGGCGCUGAGCCCCAGAAGGCCCCUGGAUGCUGAGGCUAGAAGGCCCCCGGGUGCUGAGUCCCGACGGCCCCCAGAUGCUGAGGCCGGACGGUCCCUAGAACUGAGCCCGGAGGGUCCCCGGGAGCUGAGCCCCGACGGUCCCCAGACGUUUCCCUUUUGGCCUCAAUUUCCUUUUCGUCCUCAAGUGCCAUGUAAACUAGAUCGGCGGGGUUCACGUAGAGGGCUUCUGUUCAGCCCAGGACAUGUCGUCAGCUUCUCGGAGCGAGAUUCUCAGGUUUGAUGGCCUGAAGAAAGGAGUUCUAGAACCAUGCAAGUCAAGCAUCUGCCUCCAGGAAGCUGAAUUCAAUGUGGAAGCUGAGGCCCAGAGAGGUCAAGUGACUUGCCUGAGGUCACCCAGCUCCCAACUGCCAAGGCUGGAAUUUGCAAUCCAAGCAACUUGGCUGCAGAGCCUGUGUUCUCAGCCACCAUCGCUUAAAAUCAUGCUGUGAAACUACAUCCACCGGCACGGAAAGCUCCAUGAGUUCAGCUUGAAAAGUAGGUCACAAAUCAGCACGGAUGGGCCUGUUUAUUUUAAAUUUACGUGUAACACUAUGUUUUCUGAGUGCUGACUAUAUGCUGGGUGCUGAGGCUGGCACAGGGAGCGUGUUGUUUAGCUUAAUCUCCAAACAGCCCUUAGAGGAAGGCACCACUCUGGACGUACUCAGAGGCAGAACUGAAGACUCAGAGGGGUUCAGUCACUCAGCUGUGGUCACACAGCCCUGCGAGUAGAAGCCAGGAUUCAGAGCCAGACACUCAGGCCUGCAGAAUCCCCCCACAAGGAUGCACUCACUGCCUGCUGGCAGGAGCUCUGAGCUCCUUCUCUGUGAGCCCGUGACUGGCGGCUGUGAUCUGUGGGUACCCGGCAUGGCCCUGCAUCACCCUCACUUUGCAAGAUGCUUUUCAAAAUGUUUAACAGCACACAGUUGGAGGAUGGUGCUGCCUGCCCUCAUGUGCAGAUGCUGCUUCCUUAGACGAGGAACUGAAGGGGGGCCCUGGGGUAAUGGGGGGCCCUCAAGGGGCUCAAAGCAAUGCAUUUUGCCAACUUGCAGCUUUUUGCCGCAGCCCCGUUGAACACGGGCCCUGUUCUUUUCCCUCAAGAGCCGGCUGGGUGCCAGGGCUUCCUGCAUCUUCCCAGGAGCCGCCUCCAAGCCGGAACUCCAAAGCCCCUCCGCAUGCAGAGCUAGAAGACAGAAUCUGGAAGACGUUGGGAACACGAACAGCUUUGGAGAAGUGGCAGAGGGGACAUGGAGUGGGGACCGGCUCAGAUACCCACCCCUGCAUGUGCAGGCCAGAUGCAGGAUGGGAAGCAGGAACCACAUCAAAGUGGCAGGCACCCAGGCUGGAGUGGGAGGGGUCCAAGGAAGUGUACAGCAUGGUGAUAAAAACCCAAGCCCUCAUGGCCACCACCAUCUGCAGGCACAGAGCGGGGGCCAGCCCUGAUCAGGGCGACACCGAGAAUUUGGGCUCCUUACAUCUUGGAGCUGAGAACGUGGGCUGGUGUGCCAGCAGGGCCAUGGCAGGGUUGCAGCUGCACCAUUGCCAGCAAACGGGUGGGGCUGGGCCCAGCAGAGUUUCAGAGCCUGGGCUGUAGACCCAGAUGGGUGGGAAUCCCAGCCUGAUCGGUUGCUGGGAUUAUAACUUUACAACAGUUAUUUAGCCUCUCAGGGCCUCGGUUUUCCAAUCUAUAAAAUGGGCAUGGGCAGCCCGGGUGGCUAAGCGGUUUGGCACCGCCUUCAGCCCAAGGUGUGAUCCUGGAGACCUGGGAUUGAGUCCCAUGUCAGGCUCCCUACAUGGAGCCUGCUUCUCCCUCUCCCUGUGUCUCUGCCUCUUUCUCUCUCUGUGCCACAUGAAUAAAUAAAUAAAAUAAAAUGGGCAUAAUACCUAAACUACAGCAUGGAGUCGCGGUGGAGAGGAUCAGAUGUGUUUAGCACAACAUGAGGCACACGUAGGGAGUGCUCUGGGAGUCAGCGCCCCCAGGGAGCAGCCCCCAGCUGCGGUAAACACCCCAGGAUCCACAUGGCUCUGGAGUGCAUGCUCCACACUGUCACCUGGGUGUGUCACUGUCACCCCAGCAAGAUAGAGGCCUGGCAGCCUGCCGCUAGCUAUAAGCUGUCCCUGUGCUGGCCGCCUCCCCUCCGUGCCUGGUGUCCCCGCUCCUGGGCCUCCCACGCACCCUGCUUGCCUCAUGUGGUCACUGUCAUCACCGUCUCAGGGUGGGCCCUGGGAGGAACUAAGUGCACGGCAUGGACCACAGCUAACAUCACCCACCGUCCGUGCUGUGAGUCCGACCUCGAUUCAAACCCUGUGCUGCCACUUGCACGCUGAGACCCAGGAUGAGCCAAGCAGGGUCUCUGAGCCGCCACUGCGCAUCUUUAAAAUGCAGACGAGAAUGGCAGCCGCCCUCGGGGUUCGUUUCAAGACUUGGUAUUUUCCCUAGGCGUGGACCCUGGCACAUUGUCACUGCUCAACAAGCAUGAGCUGUUACUACCGUAGUCAGGUAGACGUGGGGCGGCACUCCGGGUGAGAGAGCGAGGUAGUCCCAAGGUCCUUUGUCUGGUUUCAGGCUCUGCUGUCGCCGUCUUGAAAUCCAUAGGACUUUUGAGCAAAGCAUUCUGUUUUGUCCAUUGGACCCUGCUGGUUGGGCAGCCAUCCCUGGGAGACCUCGUUGGCCUCGGUUUCCUCAUCUGUCAGGCGGGGGUGACAGCAGAGUGAACUCUACCCCGCAGCAGUGACGUGGGACAGAAGUGUGGGUAUUUCAAAGGGCAUUGCUAAUAACAGACGAAUAACCCAAUUAAAACACUGGCAAAGGAGCUGAAAAGACAUUUUUCCAAAGAAGAUGUAUAAAUGGCCAAAAGGCCAAAAAGCACAUGAAAAGAUGCUCCACGUCACUAGUGUACAGGGAAAUGCAAGUCAAAACCACAGGGAGAUGGCUUCACACCCAUGGCAAUGGCUGGGAUCCAAGACUAAAGCAGGUGCUGAUGAGGAUGUGGAGCAACCAGGACUUUUCCGGGCGGCCAGUGGGAAUGGCUCAUGGUGUGGCCACCUGGCGGUUCCUCAAGAGUUAAAAUAUAGAGUUAUUAUGACCCAGAGAUUCCAUCCAGGGCACAGCCAAGAGAAACGAAAACAUGUCCACAUAAGAACUAGUACGUGGGUAUUUACGGCAGCAUCAUUCACAGCAGCCCAAAGUGGAAACCCCAUUACCCACCAACUGACGAGUAGGUGGACUGUGGUCUCUCCUACAAGGGAACAUUAUUCAGCCAUAAAAAGGAGGGAAGUGGUGGCACUCUGCUGCAACGCGGAUGAGCCUUGAAAACGUGAUAUGGAGACGCCUGGGUGGCUCAGCGGUUGAGCAUCUGCCUUCAGCUCAGGUCUCUACCUCUCUCUGUGUGU